CAUGCUUAAUGUAAAAUUGAAACUUGAUGUAAAUCGUUGAAUAUGAUUUAAAGAGCCAUUAUGUAAAACCAAAUCAUACGUAAUGGUCAAUUGUUAUGUAAAUUAAUUUCAGUUUGUUGAUUUUCGGAAAAUUUGAACUUCAAAUUGCAUGUAAAAUAUACAUUCAAUGUAAUUUAGCUGCACUGAAAUUUCAAAAUCGUGUAAAUUUCAAUUGUGAAGUCAAUUCUGACGAUGACAGCUCAAAACAAAACAAUCAAGUAAGCUUGGUAGUGUUUGGUGGCAGGAGAAGCGAAAGUUUGGCGGCUAAAUUUUGUUGUUUAUGUUGAUAUUCUGAGUGCAAACAAAUGAAACAAUUUGAUGCUAAUCUCAGGUAGUUGGUAUUAUGUUAAUCUUUCGUAUAAUCAGACCGUACUUUUGGGCUUCCAAGCAACUAUUCUAAGAGUUUCGAGAAUAAUCGGUCAAGCAACCAGUGAAACAUUAGUUUUUGAGCCGUUGAUCCAGAUGCUGAAACUGUCUGCUGCCAAUGGCAGCCUGCCUUUCGAAUAAAUGAAGAUGCUUUAUAGACUGCAUCACGACUUAUUAAACUGAUCAAGUAAGUUUCUCACGAAAGUAUGUAAUAACUUUUUGAUAAUAGUUGAAAUCAUUUUUCUACGACUUCAAACGAAGCAACGGAAUACUUCUAGGAAUCACCUGCUGGAAGUUCCUGACACUUCGUCCAGAUGUUUCUCCCGCAAAUGUACCUUUUUCUGCUUCCGGUCCGGCUCGUCAUUUUAUAACAAAUGUUUCCAAAGCAGAUGCUAGACGGCAAACGAUUCCCUCGAUUCGAGUUUCUUCGGGCAGCUUGUCCUGGUUGAAGAUGAAAGGAAUCAUCCGAGGAAUCAUCUUGCUUUGGAACCCAAGUUACUGGAAUCGGCGUGGUGACCCUAUCCGGCCGCAGUUUGAUAGCAGGAUCUGGUCAACGGAGACGUCAAUUGCCUAAAAUUUGGUCAGUGUAUGCUUAUUUUUUAUAUUCAGUGCGGAAUUCAUAAUUA